AGAGAGUCAAUCUUAUUGCUUUUCUUUUCUCUUUUUUCUCCUUUUCUUUUCCUGUUUCCUUAGGCUACUGUGUGUAGACUCCAGUGACAUUUCUUUCAGGAACAGGAGCACCCAGCCCCCCUGAGAGCUGCAUGUGACCAUCACUUCAUUUCUCUGGAAUCGAUUCUGCCAGGACAGGAACUGCGAAUUCUUUCUCUAUGACGUGCUCUCUGAGAACACUAGGUUCCUGCAGUUCUCAUUACCCUACCCUCUAAGCUCCAGGGUCUGGAAGAGGUCACUGCCAUGGAACUCUUUUAUGACUUUUGCCCCCAGAGAACUGAGGAGAAAGGAGGCUGACCCAUACAUGGACUUCGACAUAACCUCUUAAUAUUUGACAUCCAAAGAGGCCAAAGGGGAUCUCUCCAGAGCCAGUGGGGAAAAGGCAAGAGGAAUUGGACUCAGUUCUCUCCAUUCUCUGACCUGGAUGGUGUCCCACUGUCGUUUUCUGGGUUCCAGUAUCUUCAACAGCCUCCCCAUCUCCCAUGCAGACCUCAUGGAGCCUCAAAACUAGCCCUACAGUUGCCGCACCCUGACCUUUCGGUCACAUUCUCACGUUGAAUUUUGCUGAAAUGAUCAGACCAGAGUGGACCUUCUGUUUCUUGACACGAUCCUGACAGAUACUGUCACUUAAUGAGUCAGGGGACCCUGGUCAUGUCUUAUAGGCACUAUAGCCGUAACACCCAAUGGCAUUUUUAUCUCCACUUUGAAGAUGAGAUCAGCAUGUAAAGGUACCUGUCACCAAACAUGAAGACCUGAGUUUAGUCCCUAGAGACCCAUAUGGUGGAGAGAGAGUACAAACUCUCACAGUUGUCCCCUGACCUCUGUGCCCACCAUGACACACACAUGCACACACACACACACACACACACACACUGAAUAAAUAAAUGUGUGCUAAAAAAUUUUAAAGCCAGUUCUUGCUGGGGGACUGGCUCAGUAAUAAAGUAGCGAGGAGACUGACCAUGUGAAGGGAACGAGGAGUCCUAAGAAGGCAGAAGCUGGUCGGGUUGCCUAGGGCGAGGUGAAAGGGGAGUUUUAUAAAGACGGGAUUUGCCGACAUGGGGAGAAUGAAAUAAGGAAAUGCAAGGAAACACAUCCCAAACUCUCAAACUCUUUGAGAGCCAUCAAUCCAUGUAGGUCUUGAGCUGAGUGUUUCUUCACAGAGAAGUCCUUCCUAGGAUAAUGUUUGUUCUUUUCACCCUUUGUGGACUUGCUGUGUAAUGGAAGGUGAUCUUGAAUUUCUGAUCUUCCUGCUUCCACUUCAGAGUGCUAGGAUUAUGAGCAUAUACCACUAUUCCUGGGUUACAGAGCUGGAAACCAAACCCAAGUCUGCAUACAUACUAGACAGUCACUGUACCAAAUGAACACCUUCCUAGCCCCGGCUUCUCUUCAAUGAACUUUAUUUAUCCUCCCAAACACUUCUGUGAGCCAGGCAUGGUAGCACAUGUCCUGAAGUCCUUCAGGGAAGAGGAAGAGGGCCACUGAAAGUCCUGGACCAGACUCACUUACAGAGCAAGCGCUUGGCCAACCAGGGAGAUAUAUUGAAGCCCUGCCUCAUAAAAGCCCAGAAUGAGUCUGAUGUGGUGGCACAGGCCUGUUCCUGAGCACUUGGAGACUAAUCUCUUCACCUAACCUAUUGAUAAAUAGUGAGUUCCAGGCCAGCCAGAGCAAUUCAGUGAGUCUCGGUCUCAAAAACAAAAUAAAACAACAACAAAAAUGAAAAACCCUAGAGAAGGCCUUUCUGCCUUUCUUUUGGAUGGUGGCCUGAGUCGAAGUAUGCUUUUUCCAGUACUUUGGGCUUUUUCACUUUUUCUAAAGCUCCCCUUUCCGCCUCAUGACUGACUUCAAGCCUAACUCAACAGUGUGACUCUCCUUCCCUCUUAAGCUCCCACCUAUGAAUAUAUAAUAAACCUUUCUCUAAAACUCAGAGCAACAGUAACAACAACACAUUGUUCCUGCCCUGGAGCCCCUAUCAAUCUCAGAAGUUCUUUUUCACAUUUCCUUAGUAAAUAUAUUCACUGUUGGGAGAAAAACAAAACAAAACAAAACAAAAACCCCAAAACUCCACAAGUACAAAACCAAGUUCAGAGACAACUUAGGCUACAUACUGAGGCCAGCCUAAGAAAGAAACCCUGAUUUAAAAAAGCCACUCAGUGGCAGGGCAAGGACUGUAGCUGGGUGGUAGAGCUUUUGCCUGGUAUACAUGGAGCUCUGGAUGCAGUCCCCAAUACCACAGAACAAAUAACAAUUAAAAACAACCCACCAUGGAUCAUGUCUUUAAUUCCAGCACUCAGAAGGCAGAGGCAGGCAGGUUUCUGGGCCACCAUGUCUGACUUUUUAUGAUUUUUGUUGUUGUGACCCAUUGUCUCAUACAGUCAAGGCUGGUUUUGAACUCCUGAUUCUCUUGCCUCCACCUUUUAAAGACUGGAACUACAGGCAUGCACCAUUAUGCCCAAACCUCCUGCCUUGGCAUCCUGACUACUGGGAUUACAGAUGUGUGUCACCACAUCUGGAUUUGAAUACGCCGACUCUUGUUCGACUGGUGUUUCAGGGCCGGGUCUAGGGCUUUGGCUUGAGACUCUGGCUGAUCAACUUUCCUUCCACAACUCACCCCAGUCCAGGCUUUGGCCUGCUGAGCCUCAGAGGCACCUGGCCUGCUUCCCUCAACAGCCGCUGACCUUUUGUCUCAGGUCCAGCUGCUUGUUUAUCUUUCCUAGGCCAUCUGAGCCAUUAAAAGAAUGUAUUAGUUUGUU